GACGGAGGAUGCAAGUGUUAUCCGGAAUCACUGGGCGUAAAGCGUCUGUAGGUGGUUCGAAAAGUCCACUGUUAAAAAUUGAGGCUUAACUUCAAAGAUGCCGUGGAAACUUUCAAACUAGAGUAUGGUAGGGGUAGAGGGAAUUUCCAGUGGAGCGGUGAAAUGCGUAGAUAUUGGAAAGACCACCGAUGGCGAAGGCACUCUACUGGGCCAUUACUGACACUGAGAGACGAAAGCUAGGGGAGCAAAUGGG
rnacentral:rRNA from 2 species